UUGAGAGAAGUAUCCUGAAGGAACUCGGCAAAUUACCUCCGUAACUUCGGGAGAAGGAGGCCCUGUCAGAAGGCAACUUUUGGCAGGGGGCACAAGCUGGGGGGUAGCGACUGUUUAGCAAAAACACAGGACUCUGCUAAGUCGGCUUCAAGACGACGUAUAGGGUCUGACGCCUGCCCGGUGCUCGAAGGUUAAGAGGAGGAGUGCAAGCUCUGAAUUGAAGCCCGAGUAAACGGCGGCCGUAACAAUAA
rnacentral:rRNA from 1 species